rnacentral:lncRNA from 1 species
GCCUGCAAUCUCAUCACAGUCAACCCCAGUAACAAUUAUAUCAUCCACAUACACAGCCACCACAACAAGGGAAUCAGGAUUACCUUUUAAGAACAGUGAAUAAUCAUUCAAAGAAUGCCUGUAACCUCUAGAAUUAAGGGCAGAGGACAGCUUAGCAUACCACUGCCUGGAGGCCUGCCUGAGCCCAUACAAAGACUUNNNN